AGACAGAGGGUGCAAGCGUUGUUCGGAUUUAUUGGGCGUAAAGCGCGCGUAGGCGGUUUUGUAAGUCGGGUGUGAAAGCCCGGGGCUCAACCCCGGAAGUGCAUUCGAAACUGCAUCACUUGAGUCCCGGAGAGGGUGGUGGAAUUCCUGGUGUAGAGGUGAAAUUCGUAGAUAUCAGGAGGAACACCGGUGGCGAAGGCGACCACCUGGACGGUGACUGACGCUGAGGUGCGAAAGCGUGGGGAGCAAACAGGAUUAGAAACCCCGGUAGUCC
rnacentral:rRNA from 1 species